AUUGAACGCUGGCGGCAGGCCUACCACAUGCACGUCGAGCGAGCGGCGGACGGGUGAGUAAUGUCUGGGAAACUUCCUGAUGGAGUGGGCUAACUACUGGAAACGGUAGCUAAUACCGCCUACCCUCCGAUGUGCCCCGGUGGGAUUAGCUAGUCGGUGGGGUACCGGCUCACCUAGGCGACGAUCCCUAGCUGGUCGGAGAGGAUGAACAGACACACGGGAACGGAGACACGGUCCAGACGGCUACGGGAGGCAGCAGUGGGGAAUAUGGCACAAUGGGCGCAAGCCUGAUGCAGCCAUGCAGCGUGUGUGAAGAAGGCCGGAGGGUUGUAAAGCACGUGCAGCGGGGAGGCGUUACCCGCAGAAGAAGCACCGGCUAACUCCGUGCCAGCAGCCGCGGUAAUUC
rnacentral:rRNA from 1 species